UGACCACUCAGAUUACUGAGGCAGCCUAACGGACAGGCGGGUCGGUUGCCGG
rnacentral:sRNA from 29 species